AUGAUGUACGGCCACGACAUCGAGGACAUGGGCUUCUUUCACAUCGAGGUGCCAGAGCUCCCACCUCCCUCCCCCUCGCUCCUGGCUCUUGUGACUGUCGUGGGCGAGGGCGUCGCCACCCCGGAGCUGAUCGAGGCCGAGCUCAACCACUUGUGCAGGUGCAAGUGGGAUUGGCAGGUGACCUCCACCACUGCCAACGCCUUCACGGUGAUCUUCCCCGACGCCCUGAGCAUGGGAUUCUGCACCCACAGCGACAAGAUCACCUUGGCCCUCAACGGGAUUGUGGUGAAGAUCUCCGAGCCGAGGUGGGAUCCCAAGGCCGUGGUGGUUCUGGACACUGCCUGGCUCCUCAUCGCCAGCCUACCAUAUGUGGCCCGGUCUGAGCAGGUCAUUCGCAGUAUGUCCAAGUUCCUGGGCAAGGUGGUCGUGGUCGACGAGCUUUCUCUGCGCAAGGAGGAGGAGGUCCGGGUCAAGGUGAAGUGCUUGGACUCCUCCAGGCUCCGCACCACGCUUCGGGUCUCCUUCAACGACGACGGAUACGACCUCACGAUCUGCCCCGAGCCUCCGAACCACAUCGGCCGCUCCCGCCUCUCCGGCGACGGCCACCAGGGGGGCGGUGCUGCUGAUGCCGAUGACUCCCACCACGGGCGAUCCCGCCACUCCCGCCUCGACGACCAUGAGGAGGACGAGGACCUCUCAGAGCGCUCCCGCUCCCCUUCCCGCGAGCCAGUCAACCCACUUUCGGGUCGUGGCGGCUCCGGGGCGGGGCACACCAGGGUGUCUGCCGCUGACCUCGUGGUGGCUCUUCGUCUGGCAGCCCCUCCGGUUGCGCUCUCUCCUCCUCCUUCGGAGUCGGCCAGUGACAUCUCCAGUGUGGGUCUGCUCGUCGUGCCGCCUUCGUCGCCUCGCUCCCCGUCCGCCGACUCCACCCUCCGCCCCUCUCCGUCGGGCCCGGAUCCCCCCUCCCUCCUGGUUUGA
rnacentral:rRNA from 1 species